rnacentral:antisense_RNA from 1 species
CUUGAUCGAACCCAGCCAAAGUGGCUCUUCACGGCCCUGGCCGUAGGCGGUCAGGAGCGCUUGCGCCUC